rnacentral:rRNA from 2 species
GCAGCAGUAGGGAUCUUCCGCAAUGGACGAAAGUCUGACGGAGCAACGCCGCGUGAGUGAUGAAGGUUUUCGGAUCGUAAAGCUCUGUUGUUAGAGAAGAACAAGUGCCGUUCAAAUAGGGCGGCACCUUGACGGUACCUAACCAGAAAGCCACGGCUAACUACGUGCCAGCAGCCGCGGUAAUACGUAGGUGGCAAGCGUUGUCCGGAAUUAUUGGGCGUAAAGGGCUCGCAGGCGGUUUCUUAAGUCUGAUGUGAAAGCCCCCGGCUCAACCGGGGAGGGUCAUUGGAAACUGGGGAACUUGAGUGCAGAAGAGGAGAGUGGAAUUCCACGUGUAGCGGUGAAAUGCGUAGAGAUGUGGAGGAACACCAGUGGCGAAGGCGACUCUCUGGUCUGUAACUGACGCUGAGGAGCGAAAGCGUGGGGAGCGAACAGGAUUAGAUACCCUGGUAGUCCACGCCGUAAACGAUGAGUGCUAAGUGUUAGGGGGUUUCCGCCCCUUAGUGCUGCAGCUAACGCAUUAAGCACUCCGCCUGGGGAGUACGGUCGCAAGACUGAAACUCAAAGGAAUUGACGGGGGCCCGCACAAGCGGUGGAGCAUGUGGUUUAAUUCGAAGCAACGCGAAGAACCUUACCAGGUCUUGACAUCCUCUGACAAUCCUAGAGAUAGGACGUCCCCUUCGGGGGCAGAGUGACAGGUGGUGCAUGGUUGUCGUCAGCUCGUGUCGUGAGAUGUUGGGUUAAGUCCCGCAACGAGCGCAACCCUUGAUCUUAGUUGCCAGCAUUCAGUUGGGCACUCUAAGGUGACUGCCGGUGACAAACCGGAGGAAGGUGGGGAUGACGUCAAAUCAUCAUGCCCCUUAUGACCUGGGCUACACACGUGCUACAAUGGGCAGAACAAAGGGCAGCGAAACCGCGAGGUUAAGCCAAUCCCACAAAUCUGUUCUCAGUUCGGAUCGCAGUCUGCAACUCGACUGCGUGAAGCUGGAAUCGCUAGUAAUCGCGGAUCAGCAUACUCGCACUAUUGGGCGUC